rnacentral:rRNA from 1 species
CGCGUGGGUGAAGAAGGCCUUCGGGUUGUAAAGCCCUUUUGUUGGGAAAGAAAUCCAGCUGGCUAAUACCCGGUUGGGAUGACGGUACCCAAAGAAUAAGCACCGGCUAACUUCGUGCCAGCAGCCGCGGUAAUACGAAGGGUGCAAGCGUUACUCGGAAUUACUGGGCGUAAAGCGUGCGUAGGUGGUCGUUUAAGUCCGUUGUGAAAGCCCUGGGCUCAACCUGGGAACUGCAGUGGAUACUGGGCGACUAGAGUGUGGUAGAGGGUAGCGGAAUUCCUGGUGUAGCAGUGAAAUGCGUAGAGAUCAGGAGGAACAUCCAUGGCGAAGGCAGCUACCUGGACCAACACUGACACUGAGGCACGAAAGCGUGGGGAGCAAACAGGAUUAGAUACCCUGGUAGUCCACGCCCUAAACGAUGCGAACUGGAUGUUGGGUGCAAUUUGGCACGCAGUAUCGAAGCUAACGCGUUAAGUUCGCCGCCUGGGGAGUACGGUCGCAAGACUGAAACUCANAGGAAUUGACGGGGGCCCGCACAAGCGGUGGANUAUGUGGUUUAAUUCGAUGCAACGCGAAGAACCUUACCUGGNCUUGACAUGUCNAGAAC